rnacentral:tRNA from 1 species
CGGGGCGUGGCGCAGCCUGGUAGCGCGUUUGGCUGGGGGUCAAAAGGUCGCGAGUUCGAAUCUCGCCGCCCCGA